UACGUAGGGUGCAAGCGUUGUCCGGAUUUAUUGGGCGUAAAGAGCUCGUAGGCGGUCUGUCGCGUCGGAUGUGAAAACCCAGGGCUCAACCCUGGGCCUGCAUUCGAUACGGGCAGACUAGAGUACGGCAGGGGAGACUGGAAUUCCUGGUGUAGCGGUGAAAUGCGCAGAUAUCAGGAGGAACACCGGUGGCGGAGGCGGGUCUCUGGGCCGUAACUGACGCUGAGGUGCGAAAGCGUGGGGAGCAAACAGG
rnacentral:rRNA from 1 species